UAUCCAGGUCACACUGAUGCAAGAGGUGG
rnacentral:piRNA from 1 species